AGGAAAACCCCACGCUGGGAAAAGAGAUAAGCUGCCUUCGGUCUGCCUAGCGAUGCCAGAAAAGACAGGGCCAGGGAGAGGACUACGGGACUCGUCGGCCCCAAAGCAGUAGGCAGGACGGGUCACGAACGGGAGCCCGAGGCAGAGCCAGCUCCCGCGGGGGUAACAGGGUCCCGGGACGGCGAGGGUAGGAGGAAUGAUCGGCAUUUAUAACGCCGGGGGAGGCUCACAGCCUUUCAAAGAGUUUCAGCUGGGGCUUGCUACAAACCGAUUUCAAGUCUUCUCCUUCAGACCCAGGGGCUGGAGAAGCUGUCACUCUGAGGCUCCCUGGCAUGUACCGGGGGGACAUGUACCUCUCUAAAUGGGCCCUGGAGUCAUGAUGGAGUUGAGCGAAGCUGCGGGGAAAUAUGUCAUUUAAUCCCAGGGCUACUGAAGUCCCUUUUAUCAAACGUCGUGAUGCUGGAAUUACACUGCUGUAAAAGCGACUGAGUACUUAAAAGUAUCCAACAUCAGGCAAAUGU